rnacentral:rRNA from 1 species
UGUUUUUUGUCUAUAUAAAAAAUAUAACCUGCCCAAUGAAAUUUUUAAUGGCCACAGUAUCUUAACUGUGCAAAGGUAGCAUAAUCAUUUGCUUUAUAAAUUAAAGCUUGUAUGAAUGGUAAAAUGAAUUAAACCUGUCUCUUAUUUAUAAAUUUAAUUUGUCUUUUCAGUGAAGAGACUGAAAAAUUUUUAAAAGACGAGAAGACCCUAUGAGUUUAAUAUAUAAAAUAUAAUUUUAUAUAAAUAUAUUUAAUUGGGGAAAUUAAAGAAAAAAUCUUCUUUUUUAAUAAAUAAGCUAUAAUUUUAGUCCCACUCAUAAUGAUUUCAAAUUAAAAUUACCAUAGGGAUAACAGCAUAAUCUUUUUUAAGAGUACAUAUCGACAAAAUGGGUUGUGACCUCGAUGUUGGAUUAAGAUAAUUAUUAAGUGUAGAAGCUUAAUUAAUAAGUCUGUUCGACUUUUAAUCUCUUACA